UGUGAGGUGUGUCCUCUGUACUGGACCAGGUGUGUGUGAGGUGUGUCCUCUGUACUGGACCGGGUGUGUGUGUGAGGUGUGUCCUCUGUACUGGACCAGGUGUGUAAUCUGUGUGACCCCAACCAGAGGUAUAAGAUUUACAUCACAUGGGAUUUAAGGUGGCUAAUGUUGUGGUCAUCUUGAUUCAAUUGCACACAAACGAAUGAAACUUUUAAUUGAGUGGUGCCUCCAUGUCAAACGGUAGUUCUACCAGUGAUCACAAAAUCACUGGUCAGGUUUGUGUAGCACGUUUAACCUGUACUGUGCAGUAGACUCAAUGUACAAUAAAUCUACUUAGGUUUGAACUUUCCCAAAUAAAACAAAUUACAUAGCCAUUAGAAAGACAA